UGCAUCGAAUGCGGGAAUCGAACCCGGGCCGCCCGCGUGGCAGGCGAGCAUUCUACCACUGAACCACCGAUGG